AGUGUCGAUCGACGGGACAUGAAUAGUGUUGAUCAACGGAAUUUGAAUAGUGUCGAUCGAUGAAAGGUAAAUAGUGUCGCGAUAAAUAGUAUCGCGAUGAACAGUACUAGGAUGAAUAGUAUUAUGAUGAACAGUACCUCGAUGAAUAGUGCCUCGGUGAACGGUGUUGUUUGACGAUUUGUUGGCUCUGUCGAUCACCGCUGCUUAUCGUUGGUCGAUCGACGUCGGAUGAAUGGUGUCGAUCGAUUGAUGGUGUAUGCUGUCGAUCGAUGCUUCUUGGAGGAUGUCGAUCGAUACUUCCCUCUUAGACUAACAGAUCGUGCAUAGACCAGUAGACUCCUUCCUUGAAGGACCUAUAAAUCCUCUCUUCAUUGCUCUGGGCUCCAUGCAGUCAUAAAAUAUACAAGGCCCACGAUCUGGGAUCUCCAUCAAUCGACGUGCAGAGUGCUGCAUCGAUCGACGUG
rnacentral:lncRNA from 1 species